AAAAGACUUAGUCCUAACCUUACUGUUGGUUGUUGCUAGGUAUAUACAUGCAAGUAUCCGCGCCCCAGUGUAGAUGCCCUCAGUACCUCUCACCCAGGUCGGUAGGAGCGGGUAUCAGGCUCACACCUCCCCCAUCGUAGCCCAAAACGCCUAGCGUUUGCCACACCCCCACGGGUAUUCAGCAGUAGUUAAUAUUAAGCAAUGAGUGAAAACUUGACUUAGCCAUAGCAAAACAGGGUUGGUAAAUCUUGUGCCAGCCACCGCGGUCAUACAAGAAACCCAAAUCAACUUUACCUUUAAAACGGCGUAAAGAGUGGUAACAUGCUAUCAAAGUACCUAAGAUUAAAAUGCAACUGAGCUGUCGCAAGCCCAAGAUGCCCAUAAGGCCACCGCUUAAAGAAGAUCUUAGACCAACGAUUAAUUGAAAUCCACGAAAGCCAGGGCCCAAACUGGGAUUAGAUACCCCACUAUGCCUGGCCCUAAAUAUUGAUGCUUUACCUUACCUGAGCAUCCGCCCGAGAACUACGAGCGCAAACGCUUAAAACUCUAAGGACUUGGCGGUGCCUCAAAUCCACCUAGAGGAGCCUGUUCUGUAAUCGAUGAUCCACGAUAUACCCGACCAUUCCUUGCAAAACAGCCUAUAUACCGCCGUCGCCAGCUUACCCUGCUUGAAGGCCCAACAGUGAGCGCAAUAGUACUUACCACACUAAAAAGACAGGUCAAGGUAUAGCCUAUGGAAUGGAAGCAAUGGGCUACAUUUUCUAGUAUAGAAAACUACGGCAAAGGGGCAUGAAACUGCCCCUGGAAGGAGGAUUUAGCAGUAAAGUGGGAUAAUCGAGCCCUCUUUAAGCCGGCCCUGGGGCACGUACACACCGCCCGUCACCCUCCUCAAAGGCGACCCCCCCCCCAAUAACUAAUAAGCUAUCCAGCCAAAGAGGAGGUAAGUCGUAACAAGGUAAGUGUACCGGAAGGUGUACUUAGACUACC
rnacentral:ncRNA from 1 species